rnacentral:rRNA from 1 species
UACGUAGGGUGCAAGCGUUGUCCGGAAUUAUUGGGCGUAAAGAGCUCGUAGGCGGUUUGUCGCGUCGGGAGUGAAAACCCAGGGCUUAACUCUGGGCUUGCUUUCGAUACGGGCAGACUAGAGGUAUGCAGGGGAGAACGGAAUUCCUGGUGUAGCGGUGAAAUGCGUAGAUAUUGGGAGGAACACCAGUGGCGAAGGCGGCUACCUGGACCGGUUCUGACGCUGAGGCGCGAAAGCGUGGGUAGCAAACAGG